rnacentral:rRNA from 1 species
AACGAACGCUGGCGGCAGGCUUAACACAUGCAAGUCGGGCGCCCCGCAAGGGGGGCGGCAGACGGGUGAGUAACGCGUGGGAAUCUACCCAUCUCUACGGAAUAACGCAUGGAAACGUGUGCUAAUACCGUAUACGUCCUUCGGGAGAAAGAUUUAUCGGAGAUGGAUGAGCCCGCAUUGGAUUAGCUAGUUGGUGGGGUAAAGGCCUACCAAGGCGACGAUCCAUAGCUGGUCUGAGAGGAUGAUCAGCCACACUGGGACUGAGACACGGCCCAGACUCCUACGGGAGGCAGCAGUGGGGAAUAUUGGACAAUGGGCGCAAGCCUGAUCCAGCCAUGCCGCGUGAGUGAUGAAGGCCCUAGGGUUGUAAAGCUCUUUCACCGGUGAAGAUAAUGACGGUAACCGGAGAAGAAGCCCCGGCUAACUUCGUGCCAGCCGCCGCCGUAAUAC